rnacentral:rRNA from 1 species
GGACCCGCACAAGUAGUGGAGCAUGUGGUUUAAUUCGAUGAUACGCGAGGAACCUUACCAAGGCUUAAAUGUAAAGCGAUCGGUUGAGAAAUCAGCCUUUCUUCGGACGAUUUACAAGGUGCUGCAUGGUUGUCGUCAGCUCGUGCCGUGAGGUGUCGGGUUAAGUCCCAUAACGAGCGCAACCCAUAUCGUUAGUUAUUAUGUCUAGCGAGACUGCCUUGGUUAACAAGGAGGAAGGUGUGGAUGACGUCAAAUCAGCAUGGCUUUUACGUCUGGGGCUACACACAUGAUACAAUGGUGUAUACAAAGAGCAGCGAUACGGUAACGUGGAGCCAAUCUUCAAAAUACAUCUCAGUCCGGAUUGAGGUCUGCAACUCGACCUCAUGAAGUUGGAAUUGCUAGUAAUCG